AUGCUCACUUUGGCAGCACAUGUACUAAAAUUGGAACGAUACAGAGAAAAUUAUCAUGGCACCUAUGCAAGGAUAAUGUGCAAAUUCAUAAAGCAUUCCAUAUUUUU
rnacentral:snRNA from 1 species